rnacentral:ncRNA from 2 species
AUCGUUCAUUUUUCCCCAGGCGAUCGCUCGAUGGGGCAAAACGGAAGUAGGUAUUUCGAGCCGAAGGAACGCAUU